CCUACGGGAGGCAGCAGUGAGGAAUAUUGGUCAAUGGGCGCGAGCCUGAACCAGCCAAGUAGCGUGAAGGAUGACUGCCCUACGGGUUGUAAACUUCUUUUAUAAAGGAAUAAAGUGAGGCACGUGUGCCUUUUUGUAUGUACUUUAUGAAUAAGGACAGGCUAACUCCGUGCAAGCAGCCGCGGUAAUACGGAGGAUCCGAGCGUUAUCCGGAUUUAUUGGGUUUAAAGGGAGCGUAGAUGGGGUGGUAAGUCAGUUGUGAAAGUUUGCGGCUCAACCGUAAAAUUGCAAUUGAUACUGGCAGGCUUGAGUACAGUUGAGGUAGGCGGAAUUCGUGGUGUAGCGGUGAAAUGCUUAGAUAUCACGAAGAACUCCGAUUGCGAAGGCAGCUUACUAAACUGCCACUGACAUUGAUGCUCGAAAGUGUGGGUAGCAAACAGGAUUAGAUACCCGAGUAGUC
rnacentral:rRNA from 1 species